rnacentral:rRNA from 1 species
AUUGAACGCUGGCGGCAGGCCUAACACAUGCAAGUCGAACGAGUGGCGGACGGGUGAGUAAUGUCUGGGAACCUGCCCGAUGGAGGGGGAUAACUACUGGAAACGGUAGCUAAUACCGCAUACUAUCGGAUGUGCCCAGAUGGGAUUAGCUAGUAGGUGGGGUAACGGCUCACCUAGGCGACGAUCCCUAGCUGGUCUGAGAGGAUGAACAGCCACACUGGAACUGAGACACGGGCCAGACGCCUACGGGAGGCAGCAGUGGGGAAUAUUGGACAAUGGGCGCAAGCCUGAUGCAGCCAUGCCGCGUGUAUGAAGAAGGCCUUCGGGUUGUAAAGUACUUUUGUCGAGGAGGCGUUACUCGCAGAAGAAGCACCGGCUAACUCCGUGCCAGCAGCCGCGGUAAUUC